rnacentral:rRNA from 1 species
GAAUGCUGACAUAAGUAACGAUAAAGCGGGUGAAAAGCCCGCUCGCCGGAAGACCAAGGGUUCCUGUCCAACGUUAAUCGGGGCAGGGUGAGUCGACCCCUAAGGCGAGGCCGAAAGGCGUAGUCGAUGGGAAACGGGUUAAUAUUCCCGUACUUGGUGUUACUGCGAAGGGGGGACGGAGAAGGCUAUGUUGGCCGGGCGACGGUUGUCCCGGUUUAAGCGUGUAGGUGUGUGUUCCAGGUAAAUCCGGUUCACUUUAACACUGAGGCGUGACGACGA